GAUACCUACGGGGGGCAGCAGUGGGGAAUAUUGGGCAAUGGGCGCAAGCCUGACCCAGCAACGCCGCGUGAAGGAAGAAGGCUUUCGGGUUGUAAACUUCUUUUCUCAGGGACGAAUAGAUGACGGUACCUGAGGAAUAAGCCACGGCUAACUACGUGCCAGCAGCCGCGGUAAUACGUAGGUGGCAAGCGUUAUCCGGAUUUACUGGGAGUAAAGGGCGGGUAGGCGGGGACGCAAGUCAGAUGUGAAAACCAC
rnacentral:rRNA from 1 species